AAAGACUAAUCAAACCCUGUGAUAGCUGGUUCUUUCCGAAAUAUAUUUGGGUAUAGCGUCGGAUGCUGAUGAGUGGAGGUAGAGCACUAAAUAAGCUAGGGCCCCUACCGGGGUACUGAACUUAAUUAAACUCCGAAUACCAUUCAAUGAAGUCCGGCAGUCAGACUGUGGGGGAUAACCUUCAUAGUCGAGAGGAGAAUAAUCCAUACCAUCAGUUAAGGUCCCAAAAUAUGGCUCAGUGAAAAAGGAUGUGAUUUUGCUUAGACAAUGGGGAUGUUGGCUUAGAGGCAGCCAUCAUUUAAACAGUGCGUAACAGCUGACCCAUCGAGCGAAAUUGCGCCGAAAAUGAUCGGGACUUAAGCCAUAUACCGAAGCUAUGGGUGCACCCUCAAAAGUGCGCAGUAGGAAAGCGUCCCAAGUGCAGCGAAGGAGAAGGGGUAACCGACUCUGGAGCGCUUGGGAGUGAGAAUGCAGACAUAAGUAACGAUAAAGCCGGUUGAAAUCCGGCUCGCCGAAAUCCCAAGGAUUCCUGGGGAAGGUUCGUCCUCCCAGGGUUAGUCGGGUGCUAAGACGAGGCCGUAAGGAGUAGUCGAUGCCAAGCAGGUUUAAUAUUCCUGCACCACUGUAUAUACGUUCGACCUAAGGAGUGACGGAGAAAGUUAAGCCAGCGACGUGUUGAAUCGUCGUCGAAGCUCGUAGGCUGCCUGGGAAUAAAAGACCGGGUAAAGCUGAAAAGCGACAGGACCCUGAAGCUACGGCUGAUGGGGAUUGGCUGAUACUCGGCUUCCGAGAAAAGCUUCGUAGUUAGUGUAUAUGGUGCCCGUACCGUAAACCGACACAGGUGGGAUAGAUGAGUAUUCUAAGGCGCGCAGGUUAAAUCUCUCUAAGGAACUCGGCAAAUUAACCCCGUAUCUUCGGUAGAAGGGGUACCGCGCAAGCGGUCGCAGUUAAUUGCGUCGACCGACUGUUUAGCAAAAACACAGCACUCUGCAAAGUCGCAAGACGACGUAUAGGGUGUGACACGUGACCAAUGCGGAAAGGUGAAAGUCUUGGGUGCAAGCUCAGGAUCUAAGCCCCCGUGAAUGUCGGCCGUAACUAUAACGGUUCUAAGGUAGCGAAAUUCCUUGUCGGGUAAGUUCCGACCCGCACGAAUCGUGUAACGAGUUGACGACUGUCUCGGAGAGAGGCCUGGUGAAAUUGUAGUGGCGGUGAAGAUGCCGCCUACCCGCAGCAGGACGGAAAGACCCUAUGCACCUUUACUGUAAGCUGUUAUUGUCGCUUGAGUUUCAAUACGUAGAAUAGGUGGGAGACUGCGAAGCCUGGUUCCAGGAUCAGGCCGAGUCACAACGUGAAAUACCACUUUUUGUUACUUAGGCGUCUAACCUCGCACCAUUAACUGGUCGUGGGACAGUGAUAGCAGGUCAGUUUUUCUGGGGCGGAAUCCUCCCAAAGAGUAACGGAGGAUUACGAAGGUUCCCUCGGCCCGGUCGGUAAUCGGGCUAUAGAGCGCAUGAGUAUAAGGGAGCUUUACUGUGAGACCAACAAGUCGAGCAGUUGCGAAAGCAGGUUCAAGUGAUCCGGUGGUUGAAUGUGGAAUCGCCAUCGCUCAUAGGACAAAAGGUACGCUAGGGAUAACAGGCUGAUCGCGCCCAAGCGUUCACAGCGACGGCGCGGUUUGGCACCUCGAUGUCGGCUCAUCACAUCCUGGGGCU
rnacentral:rRNA from 1 species